rnacentral:rRNA from 1 species
UCCGGUGGUUACAGCAAGAGUGCAACACCCCUUCCCAUCCCGAACAGGUCCGUGAAACCUCUUAGCGUCAAUGGUACUGCAUCUUAAGAUGUGGGAGAGUCGAUCGCUGCCGGAU